GAUUGAACGCUGGCGGCAGGCCUAACACAUGCAAGUCGAGCGGUAGCACAGAGAGCUUGCUCUCGGGUGACGAGCGGCGGACGGGUGAGUAAUGUCUGGGAAACUGCCUGAUGGAGGGGGAUAACUACUGGAAACGGUAGCUAAUACCGCAUAACGUCGCAAGACCAAAGUGGGGGACCUUCGGGCCUCAUGCCAUCAGAUGUGCCCAGAUGGGAUUAGCUAGUAGGUGGGGUAACGGCUCACCUAGGCGACGAUCCCUAGCUGGUCUGAGAGGAUGACCAGCCACACUGGAACUGAGACACGGUCCAGACUCCUACGGGAGGCAGCAGUGGGGAAUAUUGCACAAUGGGCGCAAGCCUGAUGCAGCCAUGCCGCGUGUGUGAAGAAGGCCUUCGGGUUGUAAAGCACUUUCAGCGGGGAGGAAGGCGAUAAGGUUAAUAACCUUGUCGAUUGACGUUACCCGCAGAAGAAGCACCGGCUAACUCCGUGCCAGCAGCCGCGGUAAUACGGAGGGUGCAAGCGUUAAUCGGAAUUACUGGGCGUAAAGCGCACGCAGGCGGUCUGUCAAGUCGGAUGUGAAAUCCCCGGGCUCAACCUGGGAACUGCAUUCGAAACUGGCAGGCUAGAGUCUUGUAGAGGGGGGUAGAAUUCCAGGUGUAGCGGUGAAAUGCGUAGAGAUCUGGAGGAAUACCGGUGGCGAAGGCGGCCCCCUGGACAAAGACUGACGCUCAGGUGCG
rnacentral:rRNA from 1 species